GGGCUAAAUAAUUAAUUAAAGCAUCUGCUUUGCAUGCAGAAGGUCCCUGAUUCAAUUCCUGGCAUGUCCA